ACUAGAAAUAUUGACCUGUGCCUGUAGUCCCAGCUACAUGGGAGGCUGAGGGAGGAGGAUCACUUGAGCUCAGAAGUUCGAGGCCGGCCUGGGCAACAUAGAGAUACCUCAUCUCUU
rnacentral:sRNA from 1 species